rnacentral:lncRNA from 1 species
AGAAAACUUUAUUAACUUUAUAUUAUUGUUGCUAUAGGCAAAGUGCAAACCUCUUAGUCGGCCAGUAAAGGCCUUUUAUGCUUUUAUGAGUGGGCCUUAACCAUGGGCCUUAAGCUACCUUUUUUUUUUUUUUUUUUUUUUGAGAUGGAGUCUUGUUCUGUGGCCCAGGCUGGAGUGGUGUGAUCUCAGCUCACCGCAACCUCUACCUCCCAGGUUCAAGCGAUUCUCUUGCCUCAGUCUCCUGAGUAGCUGGGACUGGCAGGCACACGCCACCCCGCCCAGCUAAUGUUUUUGUAUUUUUAGUAGAGAUGAGGUUUCUUCAUGUUGGCCAGGCUGGUCUCAAACUCCUGACCUCAGGUGAUUCGCCCGCCUUGGCCUCCCAAAGUUCUGGGAUUACAGGUAUGAGCCACAACACCCAGCCUUUAACGUGCCUUUCUGACUCAUCUCCUUCUCUCCGUCUUGCCUAUCCCACCACCCACUGCACCGUGGUCUCGGGCUCACUGUGCCACCAACAAGUCUUCCUCUUGGCGCCAGCUUCUUCUGCUCCUCUGAGCUUCUCCUGCUCCUCUCUGCCUCAUCUCCCAAAGCCCCUUCCUCUUUGGCCUCUUCCAGGUCAUUCUCUCUGACUCUCAUCUGCACUGUCCUCUCCCUUUCUGGGGUCAUCAGCCACACCAAGGUCUUGGUCAGUUAACUCAGCGUGACCUUGUCUGCCUCUCCAAUUAUAUCAUAAACAACCUGUGGACCGCACCUUGGGGGGCCUUCCUAAGUGCUCCCCAUGUCUUUCCGCAUGGCUCCUGAAGGGGUCCAGGGUCUCGUGUUGUCAUGUGCCUGUGCUUCUGCCCACUCCUCGGGUGCUCACAAGGGUAGGGCUGCCUGGGUGACAGUACGGCCUCCUGCAGCUGCGGGAGAGGGAGUCCAGAGGUGGCAGGAGAGGGAGUCCAGAGGUGGCAGGAGAGGGAGGCAGCCAUGGAGGGUGACACCCACUGAUGCAUUUCUCAGUCCAGUGAAUGCAGUCACUUUGGAUUUGUGAGAAUUGGGACCAGUGUUACUGCCACUAUCUACAGAGGCCUCACAAGGUUGUCUGUGCUAGCAAGUGAGUGAUUAGCAAAGACGCACUCCUGUGACACAUUAUGUUGAAAGUGCCAUCAUCAGAACCACACCACAGGGCAGUGGUUCUCCGGCAACGGCAGCCUCGGGAAACUUGAGAGAAACACAGAUUCUCCAGCCCCACCCCAGACCAAAGAAAUCAGAAGCUCUGGGGGUGGGGCCAGGAACCUGUGUUUUAACCAUCUCCCCAGCUGAUUCUGAUUCAGGCUAAAGCUGGGUGUCAGGCGAAGGGUGGGCAAGGUCUGGAGGCCCAAGCAUUUGAGGAACCUGCCCUGAUGGUGUAAAUAGUGUGCUGUGGGAGGUGCACCCGCCCUGAUGGUGUAAAUGGUGUGCUGUGGGAGGUGCACCCGCCCUGAUGGUGUAAAUGGUGUGCUGUGGGAGGUGCACCCGCCCUGAUGGUGUAAAUGGUGUGCUGUGGGAGGUGCACCCGCCCUGAUGGUGUAAAUGGUGUGCUGUGGGAGGUGCACCCGCCCUGAUGGUGUAAAUGGUGUGCUGUGGGAGGUGCACCCGCCCUGAUGGUGUAAAUGGUGUGCUGUGGGAGGUGCACCCGCCCUGAUGGUGGGAAUGGUGUGCUGUGGGAGGUGCACCCGCCCUGAUGGUGGGAAUGGUGUGCUGUGGGAGGUGCACCUGCCCUGAUGGUGUAAAUAGUGUGCUGUGGGAGGUGCAUUUGGGGUGUUAUUCUGCUAACUGACUAACAUCAAAUCCAGUGGGCCAGCAAUCCAGCUUGGGGGCUUUCAGGAGCAGGGUGCUGCGUGAACCCUCAUUUAACCCUCCCUACAAUGUGGUGCCACGGGAGUGCAUGCACCUGUUUCAGAGAUGAAGACAAAAGGCCCUCAUGGAGUCAUUUGUCCCAAGCCAUCCUGGUUGUCUGUGGUGUGCCCAUGGGUGGAGGGGCCCCGGCGGGAGAUUAAGGCUGUGUAUUAGGGUUCUUGAGAGAGACAGAACCAAUAGUAUCUGUCUGUCUACACCUAUCUAGAUAGCUAGAUGAGAAGGGAUUUGUUGGGAGAAUUGGCUCACACAUUUGUGGAGGCUGAGAAGUCCCACCACUGGCUGUCUCCAAGCUGCAGACCCUGGGAUGCUGGUGGUGAGGCUCAGUCCAAGUCCGAAGGCCUGAGAACCCAGGGGCCACGGGUGUAAGUCCUGAAGUCCAAAGGCUGGAGCGCCUGGAGUUCUGAUGUCCAAGGACAAGAGAAGAAGAGCACCCCAGCUCCAAGAGGGAGAGACACCAACUCGCCUUUCCUCUGUUUUUGCUCUCUCUGGGCCCCCAGUUGAUUGGAUGGUAUCACUCACAUUAAGAGCAGAUCUUCCCCACUUACUCCACUCAGACUCACGUGCCAGUGUCCUCUGGAGACACUCUCACAGACACACCCCAAAAUAAUGCCUCAUCAGGUUCCUGGGUACUGCUUCAUCCAGUCAAGCAGACACCUAGAAUUAACCAUCGUGGUUGGGAGGCUGGAGGAGGCCUGAGCGCUGGGGCCAGGUGGCAGAGGAGCUGGAGUGAAGGGACACAGAUCUCGCCUUCACCCACCAGUGGCCCUGGGGACUGCUUUCAGGGCGCACUGCCCGUUACACAGGUGCUCGAAUUGUAAAGAGUGUUUCAAAUGUUUACAAUGGCAGGUUUGUCAUGAAGCAGUGUUAGCUGCAGAGACAAUGUUUCUGACAUAGAGCAGUGCUGAAUAGACUGUUAAUAACUAGUGGGAAAUGGACGAGGUUUGGGAAGUGACUGCUCCAGGUCCAGGAAGGACGCUCCUAGCUGAGCAAAGGGCAUUGGGCAGAACUCACAGGCCUUCACCGGGGCCCAGAGCAUGGGGCUCCGGAGAGCAGGCUGCCUGCUGGGAAAAAAUCAACAACUUAUCUGAAGGGAAAAAAGGCAGAUUGUCGGCACAGCAGAACAGGUAAAAACAUUUAAUUGCGCACACAUUGCCGUGUCACUGGUCAACAUGUCCUUGUUCUGAAAAAGGAAGGAAACAGGCUGAGGCUAACUGAACCUGCCAGGAGGCUGUUCAUCUGCCUUAUCCUCUCCUCUCGGGACAGCUGGGGCUGGUUCUGGGAUAGGACCCACCCCGGGGACCCCUGAAGGAUAUUUGAAGAAAGUUCUGGAAGUGGGGGUGCAGGACACCCAGAGAAAUAUGAGAAGUCAUCAAAAACCCAAGGGCUGUGAGCCCCUGCCCUGCCCUUCUUCCCGCUAAGAGGCUGGGGAGAUGCCACAGUUUGUAGCAAGUGGGCCACGAAUGCUCCUUUUCUGAUGAAUGGAAUCAAAUUCACGUCUUGCUUUUCCAGGUGUUCUGUGCAGCAGGAGAAGGAACUGUCAGGAAGAAGAUAAAGUCUAGGUGAGUCCGAAGGCUGAGGCCCAGAAGGAGGUGUGAUAACUUUU